rfam:Camelus ferus unplaced genomic scaffold scaffold951, whole genome shotgun sequence.
GAGGGCAUAGCUCAGUGGUAGAGCGCAUGCCUAGCAUGCACAAAGUCCUGGUUUCAAUCCUCAGUACUUCCA